UACGUAGGGAGCAAGCGUUGUCCGGAAUCAUUGGGCGUAAAGCGCGCGUAGGCGGCCCUGUAAGUCCGUUGUGAAAGUCAAAGGCUCAACCUUUGAAAGCCGAUGGAUACUGCAGGGCUAGAGUCCGGAAGAGGCGAGUGGAAUUCCUGGUGUAGCGGUGGAAUGCGCAGAUAUCAGGAGGAACACCAAUAGCGAAGGCAGCUCGCUGGGACGGUACUGACGCUAAGGCGCGAAAGCGUGGGGAGCGAA
rnacentral:rRNA from 1 species